CCUACGGGAGGCAGCAGUGAGGAAUAUUGGUCAAUGGACGCAAGUCUGAACCAGCCAUGCCGCGUGCAGGAAGACGGCUCUAUGAGUUGUAAACUGCUUUUGUACGAGGGUAAACGCAGAUACGCGUAUCUGUCUGAAAGUAUCGUACGAAUAAGGAUCGGCUAACUCCGUGCCAGCAGCCGCGGUAAUACGGAGGAUUCAAGCGUUAUCCGGAUUUAUUGGGUUUAAAGGGUGCGUAGGCGGUCGGAUAAGUUAGAGGUGAAAUCCCGAGGCUCAACUUCGGAAUUGCCUCUGAUACUGGUCGGCGAGAGAGUAGUUGCAGUAGGCGGAAUGUAUGGUGUAGCGGUGAAAUGCUUAGAGAUCAUACAGAACACCGAUUGCGAAGGCAGCUUACCAAGCUACUUCUGACGUUGAGGCACGAAAGCGUGGGGAGCAAACAGGAUUAGAUACCCGAGUAGUC
rnacentral:rRNA from 1 species